rnacentral:rRNA from 1 species
CUACGGGCGGCUGCAGUCGCGGAACUUUUACAAUGCACGCAAGUGUGAUAAAGCAAGCCAAAGUGUUUAUCGUUUAGAUAAACUUUUCUUUACUGUAAAAAUGUAGGGGAAUAAGGACUGGGAAAGACUGGUGCCAGCCGCCGCGGUAAUACCAGCAGUUCAAGUUGCAUCCCUUUUUAUUGGGUCUAAAACAUCCGUAGCUUGCCAUUUAAGUCUCUUGUGAAAUCUCGCGUCUCAAGCGCGAUGAAGUGCAGGGGAUACUGGAUGGCUAGAGAUCGGUAGACGUAAGGAGUACGCCGGAGGUAGUGGUAAAAUACGUUAAUCUUCGGUGGACUAACAAUGAGCGAAGGCACCUUACGAGGACGAAUCUGACAGUGAGGGAUGAAGGCCAGGGGCGCAAAACGGAUUAGAUACCCUCGUAGUC